UUUGGUUAAGUUAGAAAGGGCGCACGGUGGAUGCCUUGACACUAGGAGUCGAUGAAGGACGGGACUAACGCCGAUAUGCUUCGGGGAGCUGUAAGUAAGCUUUGAUCCGAAGAUUUCCGAAUGGGGAAACCCACCAUACGUAAUGGUAUGGUAUCCUUAUCUGAAUACAUAGGGUAAGGAAGACAGACCCAGGGAACUGAAACAUCUAAGUACCUGGAGGAAGAGAAAGCAAAUGCGAUUUCCUGAGUAGCGGCGAGCGAAACGGAACAUAGCCCAAACCAAGAGGCUUGCCUCUUGGGGUUGUAGGACAUUCUAUACGGAGUUACAAAGGAACGAGGUAGACGAAGCGACCUGGAAAGGUCCGUCGUAGAGGGUAACAACCCCGUAGUCGAAACUUCGUUCUCUCUUGAAUGUAUCCUGAGUACGGCGGAACACGUGAAAUUCCGUCGGAAUCUGGGAGGACCAUCUCCCAAGGCUAAAUACUCCCUAGUGAUCGAUAGUGAACCAGUACCGUGAGGGAAAGGUGAAAAGCACCCCGGAAGGGGAGUGAAAGAGAUCCUGAAACCGUGUGCCUACAAAUAGUCAGAGCCCGUUAACGGGUGAUGGCGUGCCUUUUGUAGAAUGAACCGGCGAGUUACGAUCCCGUGCGAGGUUAAGCUGAAGAGGCGGAGCCGCAGCGAAAGCGAGUCUGAAUAGGGCGUUUAGUACGUGGUCGUAGACCCGAAACCAGGUGAUCUACCCAUGUCCAGGGUGAAGUUCAGGUAACACUGAAUGGAGGCCCGAACCCACGCACGUUGAAAAGUGCGGGGAUGAGGUGUGGGUAGCGGAGAAAUUCCAAUCGAACCUGGAGAUAGCUGGUUCUCCCCGAAAUAGCUUUAGGGCUAGCCUUAAGUGUAAGAGUCUUGGAGGUAGAGCACUGAUUGGACUAGGGGUCCUCAUCGGAUUACCGAAUUCAGUCAAACUCCGAAUGCCAAUGACUUAUCCUUAGGAGUCAGACUGCGAGUGAUAAGAUCCGUAGUCAAAAGGGAAACAGCCCAGACCGCCAGCUAAGGUCCCAAAGUGUGUAUUAAGUGGAAAAGGAUGUGGAGUUGCUUAGACAACUAGGAUGUUGGCUUAGAAGCAGCCACCAUUUAAAGAGUGCGUAAUAGCUCACUAGUCGAGUGACUCUGCGCCGAAAAUGUACCGGGGCUAAAUACACCACCGAAGCUGCGGAUUGAUACCAAUGGUAUCAGUGGUAGGGGAGCGUUCUAAGGACAGUGAAGUCAGACCGUAAGGACUGGUGGAGUGCUUAGAAGUGAGAAUGCCGGUAUGAGUAGCGAAAGACGGGUGAGAAUCCCGUCCACCGAAUGCCUAAGGUUUCCUGAGGAAGGCUCGUCCGCUCAGGGUUAGUCAGGACCUAAGCCGAGGCCGACAGGCGUAGGCGAUGGACAACAGGUUGAUAUUCCUGUACCACCUCUUUAUCGUUUGAGCAAUGGAGGGACGCAGAAGGAUAGAAGAAGCGUGCGAUUGGUUGUGCACGUCCAAGCAGUUAGGCUGAUAAGUAGGCAAAUCCGCUUAUCAUAAAGGCUGAGCUGUGAUGGGGAAGCUCCUUAUGGAGCGAAGUCUUUGAUUCCCCGCUGCCAAGAAAAGCUUCUAGCGAGAUAAAAGGUGCCUGUACCGCAAACCGACACAGGUAGGCGAGGAGAGAAUCCUAAGGUGUGCGAGAGAACUCUGGUUAAGGAACUCGGCAAAAUGACCCCGUAACUUCGGGAGAAGGGGUGCUUUCUUAACGGAAAGCCGCAGUGAAUAGGCCCAAGCGACUGUUUAGCAAAAACACAGCUCUCUGCGAAGCCGUAAGGCGAAGUAUAGGGGGUGACACCUGCCCGGUGCUGGAAGGUUAAGGAGAGGGGUUAGCGUAAGCGAAGCUCUGAACUGAAGCCCCAGUAAACGGCGGCCGUAACUAUAACGGUCCUAAGGUAGCGAAAUUCCUUGUCGGGUAAGUUCCGACCCGCACGAAAGGUGUAACGAUUUGGGCACUGUCUCAACCAGAGACUCGGUGAAAUUAUAGUACCUGUGAAGAUGCAGGUUACCCGCGACAGGACGGAAAGACCCCGUGGAGCUUUACUGUAGCCUGAUAUUGAAUUUUGGUACAGUUUGUACAGGAUAGGCGGGAGCCAUUGAAACCGGAGCGCUAGCUUCGGUGGAGGCGCUGGUGGGAUACCGCCCUGACUGUAUUGAAAUUCUAACCUACGGGUCUUAUCGACCCGGGAGACAGUGUCAGGUGGGCAGUUUGACUGGGGCGGUCGCCUCCUAAAGUGUAACGGAGGCGCCCAAAGGUUCCCUCAGAAUGGUUGGAAAUCAUUCGUAGAGUGCAAAGGCAUAAGGGAGCUUGACUGCGAGACCUACAAGUCGAGCAGGGACGAAAGUCGGGCUUAGUGAUCCGGUGGUUCCGCAUGGAAGGGCCAUCGCUCAACGGAUAAAAGCUACCCCGGGGAUAACAGGCUUAUCUCCCCCAAGAGUCCACAUCGACGGGGAGGUUUGGCACCUCGAUGUCGGCUCAUCGCAUCCUGGGGCUGUAGUCGGUCCCAAGGGUUGGGCUGUUCGCCCAUUAAAGCGGUACGCGAGCUGGGUUCAGAACGUCGUGAGACAGUUCGGUCCCUAUCCGUCGUGGGCGUAGGAAAUUUGAGAGGAGCUGUCCUUAGUACGAGAGGACCGGGAUGGACGCACCGCUGGUGUACCAGUUGUUCUGCCAAGGGCAUAGCUGGGUAGCUAUGUGCGGAAGGGAUAAGUGCUGAAAGCAUCUAAGCAUGAAGCCCCCCUCAAGAUGAGAUUUCCCAUAGCGUAAGCUAGUAAGAUCCCUGAAAGAUGAUCAGGUUGAUAGGUUCGAGGUGGAAGCAUGGUGACAUGUGGAGCUGACGAAUACUAAUAGAUCGAGGACUAACCAUAUAA
rnacentral:rRNA from 1 species